rnacentral:tRNA from 1 species
GCGCCUGUAGCUCAGCUGGAUAGAGUACUCGGCUACGAACCGAGCGGUUACAAGUUCGACUCUUGUCGGGCCCACCA